UCCCUUCCAUGAUGUUAGCACUGGGCUCGGAUUACUGUGACGAUGACUGUGCCCCCCUAGACAUUAUGGGGGACUGAGGAGCAA